UUAGAGUUUGAUCCUGGCUCAGGAUGAACGCUAGCGGCAGGCCUAAUACAUGCAAGUCGAACGGUAAAUGUCCUUCGGGACAUGAGAGUGGCGCACGGGUGCGUAACGCGUAUGCAACCAGCCCCCGACCGGGGCAUAGCCGGUGGAAACGCCGGAUAAUACCCCAUGGCUCCCCAGGAGGGCAUCCUUUUGGGGAUAAGGAAGCGAUUCGGUCGGGGACGGGCAUGCGUCCCAUUAGCUGGUAGGCGGGGUGACGGCCCACCUAGGCAUCGAUGGGUAGGGGAUCUGAGAGGACGGUCCCCCACACUGGUACUGAGACACGGACCAGACUCCUACGGGAGGCAGCAGUAAGGGAUAUUGGGCAAUGGGGGGAACCCUGACCCAGCCAUGCCGCGUGAGGGAAUGAGGCCCUACGGGUCGUGAACCUCUUUUGCCUGGGGAUAACCUGCCCCGCGGGACGGGGCACUGCAGGUACCAGGCGAAUAAGCAUCGGCUAACUCCGUGCCAGCAGCCGCGGUAAUACGGAGGAUGCGAGCGUUAUCCGGAUUCAUUGGGUUUAAAGGGUGCGCAGGCGGCGGGUUAAGUCAGCGGUGAAAGGCAGGGGCCCAACCCCGGCAGUGCCGUUGAUACUGGCUCGCUGGAAUGCGGUCGAGGCGGGCGGAAUGUGGCGUGUAGCGGUGAAAUGCAUAGAUAUGCCACAGAACUCCGAUAGCGAAGGCAGCUCGCCAGGCCUGCAUUGACGCUCAGGCACGAAAGCGUGGGGAUCGAACAGGAUUAGAUACCCUGGUAGUCCACGCCGUAAACGAUGGACGCUCGUCGUCGGCGGCACACGGCCGGCGGCCAAGCGAAAGUGAUAAGCGUCCCACCUGGGGAGUACGGUGCAAGGGUGAAAAUCAAAAGGAAUUGAUGGGGGCCCGCACAAACGGUGGAGCAUGUGAGUUUAAAUUCGAUAAGACGCGAGGAACCUUACCUCGGGCUAAGAACGAUGGGGGGCGGGCGAGGAGACGCGCCUUUCCUUCGGGACUCCCAGCGAGGUGCUGCAUGGUUGUCGUCAGCUCGUGCCGUGAGGUGUCGGGUCAAGUCCCAUAACGAGCGCAACCCCUGCGUCCAGUUGCCACCGGUCAGGCCGGGCACUCUGGACGGACUGCCCGCGCAAGCGGAGAGGAAGGCGGGGAUGACGUCAAAUCAGCACGGCCCUUACGUCCGGGGCGACACACGUGCUACAAUGGCCGGCACAGAGGGCAGCCACGCGGCGACGCGGAGCGAAUCCCGAAAGCCGGUCUCAGUCCGGAUCGGAGUCUGCAACCCGACUCCGUGAAGCUGGAAUCGCUAGUAAUCGCGCAUCAGCCAUGGCGCGGUGAAUACGUUCCCGGGCCUUGCACACACCGCCCGUCA
rnacentral:rRNA from 1 species